ACCGGACUAACUACCGUGCCAGCAGCCGCGGUAAUACGGAGGGUGCGAGCGUUAAUCGGAAUUACUGGGCGUAAAGCGCAUGCAGGCGGCCUGUUAAGUCAGAUGUGAAAGACCCGGGGCGUUAACCUCGGAAAUUGCAUUUGAAACUGGCAGGCUAGAGUCUUGUAGAGGGGGGUAGGAAGUUUCAGGUGUAGCGGUGAAAUGCGUAGAGAUCUGAAGGAAUACCAGUGGCGAAGGCGGCCCCCUCGGACAAAGACUGACGCUCAGAUGCGAAAGCGUGGGGAGCAAACAGGAUUAGAUACCCUGGUAG
rnacentral:rRNA from 1 species